GGUAUUGUAAUAAGAUUUUAAUUGAAUGCUAAAAGAAUGGAAAUUUAGAAAAAAACUUUUUUGAAAUUAAAAAUUGAAUUUUUUUUAAUUUGUGCAGAAACAAUUAUUUAUAUUAAAGACAAGAAGACCCUAUGAAUUUAAAGAUUAAUUUAAUUAAUAUAAUUAACUGAAUUAAUCUUGAUUGGGGCGAUCAAAAAAUAUUAAUAACUUUUUUAAAUUAAAAUGAUCUAUUAUUAAUAAAAUAAUGAAAUAAAUACUCUAGGGAUAACAGCGUAAUAAUUUUUGAUAGAUCUUAUAGACAAAAUAGUUUGCGACCUCGAUGUUGGAUUAGGAUUCUUUUUUAAUGAAGAUGUUAAAAAA
rnacentral:rRNA from 1 species